rnacentral:tRNA from 1 species
GCCUGGGUGGUUCAGUUGGUUGAACAUCUGACUCUUGAUUUCAGCUCAGAUCAUGAUCUCACGGUUUGUGGGUUCGAGCCCUACAUUGGGCU